rnacentral:rRNA from 1 species
AAGCGCUUGCAACCAGACUUGAGCGCGGCGGUUCCCCUAGCCUUUUGGCUAGGUUACUCCGCCGUGUCCAGGCCAACAUCGGUUCUGAGGGUCGGUCAAAGGCCUUGGGAAUGUAGCUUCUUUCGGGGAGUGUUAUAGCCCUCGGUGCAAUGCCGCCUACCUGGACCGAGGACCGCGCUUCGGCUAGGAUGCUGGCGUAAUGGUUGUAAGCGA